rnacentral:rRNA from 1 species
UACGUAGGGUGCAAGCGUUAAUCGGAAUUACUGGGCGUAAAGCGUGCGCAGGCGGUUGUGCAAGACCGAUGUGAAAUCCCCCGGGCUUAACCUGGGAAUGGCAUUGGUGACUGCACGGCUAGAGUGUGUCAGAGGGGGGUAGAAUUCCACGUGUAGCAGUGAAAUGCGUAGAGAUGUGGAGGAAUACCGAUGGCGAAGGCAGCCCCCUGGGAUAACACUGACGCUCCAUGCACGAAAAGCGUGGGGAGCAAACAGG